GAAUUCUCACUCAUUUUCAAUGUUAACUAUAUAAAGUAAAAAUUAUUUUUAAUAAGAAAUCAGAAAAAUGUUUUUUUUAACAAAAGCUCUUUUUUUUUAAAAGAAGUGAACAGACAACAUGCUAAAAUGUAUUGUUAAUAAAAUUUACAUUCAAACAUAGGUUGCGACUUUUUGAAUCAAAAAACAUUUCAUUCUCAUUGAGGCUAGGGUUAUAUAUUUUCUGUAACCUCGAAACAAAAAACAAUAUUUUUGUACCACCUAGAAAACAGUUUUGAAAAUGUGAAACUGAUAAGG